UUGUGUAGUGAUUUGCUUGCAUUGAUGUUUUGAAAGGUGCGGGUUUGCGCAGAGCCAAGAAGCGUAUGAUGGAGCAGUGAAUGAACUCUUUAGUACCUUAGAUAAGAUCGAGGAUCACUUGGGUAGUAAUAGAUACUUGUGUGGAGAAAGGUUAACCUUGGCGGAUGUGUGUCUCUUUACAACUCUGAUUCGUUUUGAUCCGGUUUACAACAAUCUAUUCAAGUGCACCAAGAAGAAGCUUGUUGAGUACCCGAAUCUCUAUGGCUAUUUGCGGGACAUGUACCAGAUUCCUGGUGUUGCGGCUACUUGUGAUAUUUCGGCUAUAAUGGAUGGGUACUACAAAACGCUGUUUCCGCUAAACGCAAGUGGAAUUCAACCGGCUAUUUCUUCAUCUGGCGAUCAAGAAUCUCUCUUGAGACCUCAUAACCGAGACUUGGUGGGUAAAGCCAUGGAAGCACAACUUGCGGUUUAAGCAUAGAAAACUGUACAUAACUCAAAUGAUAGGAUGAUGCAACAGCACUCAAAAUUAUCAUACAAUGUAAUAAGCUUUGAUCUUGUACUAUUAUCCUUCCCUAUAUAUAUACAAGUAAUUCUCA